CCUACGGGUGGCAGCAGUGGGGAAUAUUGCGCAAUGGGCGAAAGCCUGACGCAGCGACGUCGCGUGAGGGAUGAAGGUCUUCGGAUCGUAAACCUCUGUCAGCAGGGAAGAACGGUCACUGUGCUAAUCAGCAGUGAAUUGACGGUACCUGUAAAGGAAGCACCGGCUAACUCCGUGCCAGCAGCCGCGGUAAUGCGGAGGGUGCGUGCGUUAAUCGGAAUUACUGGGCGUAAAGCGCUCGUAGGCGGUAUGUCAAGUCAAGGGUGAAAUCCCCGGGCUCAACCUGGGAACUGCCUUUGAUACUGGCAAACUUGAGUGUGUGAGAGGAUAGUGGAAUUCCAGGUGUAGGAGUGAAAUCCGUAGAUAUCUGGAGGAACAUCAGUGGCGAAGGCGACUAUCUGGCACAUAACUGACGCUGAGGAGCGAAAGCGUGGGUAGCAAACAGGAUUAGAUACCCUAGUAGUC
rnacentral:rRNA from 1 species